AACGAACGCUGGCGGCAUGCCUAACACAUGCAAGUCGAACGAGACCUUCGGGUCUAGUGGCGCACGGGUGCGUAACGCGUGGGAAUCUGCCCUUCGGUUCGGAACAACAGUUAGAAAUGACUGCUAAUACCGGAUAAUGACGUAAGUCCAAAGAUUUAUCGCCGAAGGAUGAGCCCGCGUAAGAUUAGGUAGUUGGUGGGGUAAUGGCCUACCAAGCCGACGAUCUUUAGCUGGUCUGAGAGGAUGAUCAGCCACACUGGGACUGAGACACGGCCCAGACUCCUACGGGAGGCAGCAGUGGGGAAUAUUGGACAAUGGGCGAAAGCCUGAUCCAGCAAUGCCGCGUGAGUGAUGAAGGCCUUAGGGUUGUAAAGCUCUUUUACCAGGGAUGAUAAUGACAGUACCUGGAGAAUAAGACUCCGGCUAACUCCGUG
rnacentral:rRNA from 1 species